AGAGUUUGAUCCUGGCUCAGGAUGAACGCUGGCGGCGUGCUUAACACAUGCAAGUCGAACGAUCCUUCGGGAUAGUGGCGGACGGGUGAGUAACGCGCGGGAGUCUGCCCUCAGGAGGGGGAUAACGGCUGGAAACGGCCGCUAAUACCCCAUAUGCCGAGAGGUGAAAUGAAUUUCGCCUGAGGAUGAGCCCGCGUCUGAUUAGCUAGUUGGUGGGGUAAUGGCCUACCAAGGCAACGAUCAGUAGCUGGUCUGAGAGGAUGAUCAGCCACACUGGGACUGAGACACGGCCCAGACUCCUACGGGAGGCAGCAGUGGGGAAUUUUCCGCAAUGGGCGAAAGCCUGACGGAGCAACGCCGCGUGAGGGAUGAAGGCCUCUGGGCUGUAAACCUCUUUUCUCAAGGAAGAAGACCUGACGGUACUUGAGGAAUAAGCCACGGCUAAUUCCGUGCCAGCAGCCGCGGUAAUACGGGAGUGGCAAGCGUUAUCCGGAAUUAUUGGGCGUAAAGCGUCCGCAGGCGGCCUUGUAAGUCUGUUGUUAAAGCGUGGAGCUCAACUCCAUUUAAGCAAUGGAAACUACAAGGCUGGAGUGUGGUAGGGGCAGAGGGAAUUCCCGGUGUAGCGGUGAAAUGCGUAGAUAUCGGGAAGAACACCAGUGGCGAAGGCGCUCUGCUGGGCCAUAACUGACGCUCAUGGACGAAAGCCAGGGGAGCGAAAGGGAUUAGAUACCCCUGUAGUCCUGGCCGUAAACGAUGAACACUAGGUGUCGGGGGAAUCGACCCCCUCGGUGUCGUAGCCAACGCGUUAAGUGUUCCGCCUGGGGAGUACGCACGCAAGUGUGAAACUCAAAGGAAUUGACGGGGGCCCGCACAAGCGGUGGAGUAUGUGGUUUAAUUCGAUGCAACGCGAAGAACCUUACCAGGGUUUGACAUCCUGCGAACCCCUGAGAAAUCGGGGGGUGCCUUCGGGAGCGCAGAGACAGGUGGUGCAUGGCUGUCGUCAGCUCGUGUCGUGAGAUGUUGGGUUAAGUCCCGCAACGAGCGCAACCCACGUCUUUAGUUGCCAGCAUUCAGUUGGGCACUCUAGAGAGACCGCCGGUGAUAAACCGGAGGAAGGUGUGGAUGACGUCAAGUCAUCAUGCCCCUUACAUCCUGGGCUACACACGUACUACAAUGCUACGGACAGAGGGCAGCAAGCUCGCGAGAGUUAGCAAAUCCCAUAAACCGUGGCUCAGUUCAGAUCGUAGGCUGCAACUCGCCUACGUGAAGGAGGAAUCGCUAGUAAUCGCAGGUCAGCAUACUGCGGUGAAUACGUUCCCGGGCCUUGUACACACCGCCCGUCACACCAUGGAAGUUGGCCAUGCCCGAAGUCGUUACUCCAACCCUUGUGGAGGAGGACGCCGAAGGUGGGGCUGAUGACUG
rnacentral:rRNA from 1 species